rnacentral:lncRNA from 10 species
GCCUGUAUUCCCAGCUACUCAGGUUGAGGCAGGAGAAUCACUUGAACCCAGGAGGCAGAGGUUGCAGUGAGCCAAGAUUGCACCAUUGCACUCCAGCCUGGGCGACAGAGCAAGGCUCCAUCUCAAAAAAAAAAAAGAACGAAAAAAAGCAGGCAUUUUUUGUUGUGCUUUUAUGUUAUUUAAACACAAGCUGCCAAGUGGUCUCCCUACCUGAAGCUGUGUGGCCCCAUUUUUUUUUUUUUUUUUUUAGAUGGAGUCUUUCUCUGUCGCCCAGGCUGGAAUGCAGUGGCACGAUUUCGGCUCACUGCAACCUCCAUCUCCCGGGUUCAAGCAAUUCCCCUUCCUCAGCCUCCCGAGUAGCUGGGACUACAGGCGCACAUCACCAUGCCCAGGUCCCUUCGUGCAGAGGCCUGGAGUGAUGCUAGUUCAUCAGCGCCUACAUGGAAUGGAGCUGUUCCAGUUGGCUACAGCCACGCUCCAAAGACAACCUUUCACCCCUAGAGAGGUGAUUAAUGGUGUUUAAGAGGGGAUGUGGGAGUAUGGCAGCAGAACAUCAGUUUCCAAAGUUGGAAUUCAAUCCCGAGUGAAUACACCCAAGAGUGUACAAAACAAAAAAUCAGCAAAACAUAGCAAGGACUCCACAGGCUUCCAAAUUCAAGACAAGUCAUUGACAACCUUCUUCUCAAUAGCAGGUCUCAGCAGCUGCAGGUCAGACCACAAAAGUGCCCCAGAAUGAUCAUCCCACCACAUUCUGUCUUUCUGAUUAUGACACCUUAUAGUCAGCGCUCCCAUCUAGGAUUAAAUUUUUAAAAUAAUCACAAUGUGGAGACUGUUGCUUGCCUGCCUCAUUAAAGCUGGCCUCUGGCAGGGGGGCAGGCCCUUUCAAAUUCAAACUAUGACUUCUAGAAUUCAAAUCACAGUGUUGGGUUUCCAGUUCAACCUGUGGUUUUUGAGAGGCUGAUUAUUUUUUGUUAAGACCCUUAUCCCCCACCCGCAGAACUCUCAGAAGAGUAAGGGGAAAAAAAGGUAAUAAAACACAAGGAAUUCCUUCAGGGAAGGAAACUUCCUCCAGAAGACCCUCAAACCAGGGAUGCUUCUUAGCUCUUUUCUUUUUAAGCUAGAAUCUCUCAAAACCACAAUUUGAACUUGCAACCACAAUUUUCCUGACACUGUAUCAAAGGCUGGUCUUAAAGGAGCCACCAAUAUGCCUAGUAUCAACCCUACUCCACCGUGGGGACAGAGCAGCCUUUCUUCCCACCGGAUCACUGAGAGAAACGUGGUCCCAGACAUUGGCCCACCAAGCUGAAAAGAAGACAGGCUUUGUUUGCCAGACAGAAGAGUGAAUCCCAUAUGUGCCCUACUCCUGCUGUAUUCUCAAACCAAAAGCACCAAAGGUUCACUUGAUUAGAUCAGAGGAAACAAAAUGAGGGUCCAAAGGGCAUGUGGCAACAAGCAGCUGGGAGGUACAUGAGGAGCUACUAGGUGGCCUGGGGGCUAGAUGACUGGACACUGCACACAGAGCUGGCUAUAAAACCAGGAAAGGCAGUCCAGGCAACCCCCAGGCCCAGCAGGUUACCGACAGAGGCAAGUAAGAAUCAAAUGGUGUCAAGGACAACCAAAAAGACCAGUGAAUUUCUAAGCCCAUCAUCCUUGGGAUCCCAUCAAACAAUCACGUGAUGAAGAAGAGGUAUAGAUGUCUUCACUUUCACUACUUGAAAAGAGCUGUUCUAACAGCAAGGGCAAGUGAAUGCAACAACUGCCAUAAAAGGGAGGAUACUGCCUAAGUUCGCAGUAAAUUAAGAAUAGUUAACCUGGAGUCCUGGAUAGCUGGGCAGGGUGAAUAAAAGCAAAAACAAAUGUACCUUUCUUCUUAUAUUCUACUUUAUUUGGUAAAACUCAGAAACUAACAAUUCACAUCCUCCCACCUUCUUCUUUCCGAAGAAGGCAGUUUGCAGAGACAAAAGGGCUGUGGCCUGAUGCUCUCAGAGGCAAUAGAAGAAAAG